UAGGUGAAUACACAAAUCCGUUCUAACGU
rnacentral:sRNA from 1 species